rnacentral:lncRNA from 7 species
UCCAGCACAGAACAAGAUUCAGAGGAGUAAGGCCAUUGGAGCCUCGACAGUCAAGGAGGAAAUGAGUGGAAAUAUUCAUUCCCAGCACAUGCACAUUGCCAUUGCUCCUCAGCACUGCAGUGCAAUGACACAGUCCAUCUUUAUGGGAGCCAUUCCUAUUGUCUUUAUCAAGAUUACCUGUUACUCCAGCUGCAUAGUAGUAUGUCAGUCUCAUCUCCUGCACAUUAGCUCUAUUUAAGUUCAUUUGGCAAGGUUUUCUGUAUGCUUGGAAAGACAGUAGGGAGCAAUUAAGGUUUCCUUUUCUCCUGCAUGUUCUUUCUGCUAUUGUCUAGCUGCGUUAAAACUCUGCACAUCUCUGUGUAAAGAUUCAGACAAGCUCCUACAGUUAAUUUUUACAGCUAAUAAUUUGAUUCUGUCAUUUCUGAACAGUGCAUCGUCUUUUAGCCCAAAGCAAGUAACAGUACUGUAUGCGUGACAUCCUGACUGCUGACUUAAUUAUGAAGAAAACUGGGGGACCGUGAUAUUAUAAUAUUUCAUUGGGAAAACUGAAUGGGUGCCAGUGUACAAUGGUGGUACAGAAGGAAGUAUCAUCAGUGAUCACAGCAGUGCCUGUCCAUUUCAAGGAAUUUGCAAGGCAACUGACUCAGAAGAUGUGCAAGUCCUUGCAUCUGAUAGAGGAAUACAGAACACACAAAAAGUGUGCUUUCUCAGCCUGGACAAGUGUCUUGAUGACAGAGACAUGCCACUGAGGACUUGCAUGCUGAUAGGAAAACAAUAACAAUAACAACAAAACAACAGCAACAAAAUGAUAACAAAACAACAAAAAGCUUAAAAACCAACAAAACAGUAUGACAAACAAACAAAACACAAAGCCUUUGAGCAAUUUCCAGAUCUUCUAUGGAGUAUACCUGAGUUUAUUUUACUUUAAAUGACUGACUUCAGCAGUGGAACUUUCAGCAUUAUUUUGUAACAGCAACUGUCUCAGAUUCAGUAUGGACCUACACAUGAAUUACUAACUUGAGAGUAAAACUCCCAUAUUAGCCUACACCUUUUCUCUCUUAAAUGAAGCAAUACAUGUUGUUAUUGAGAUGCGGAGGGAGGGGAGGGCAGAAAAAGUCCUUAAAAUCUUCCCACAUCCCUCUCAGUUCCAUUAAAAAACAAAAAUGAUGCAGGUAUGACUAAUAUUAGAAUCACGAAAUCAUAGAAUAUCCUGAGUUGAAAGGGACCCAUCAGGAUCAUUGAGUUCAACUCCUUCCCUCACACAGGAUCACCAAAAAAUUUACUAAUUUCUUGCCCUUGUAAAGUAGGGUUCUCAGAUAAUGAGCUCCUUAAGAAGUCUACAAUACAGAACACACCUGUGGAAGGCAAGGGAGGAAAACCCUGAACCCAUAUGAAACAAUAUAAAAAUUCCAGAAUUCUUCAAGUACAAAGGUAUCAUCCAUUUUUGGACAUCAACCGAACAUCAGCUGAAUAGAAAUCACUUAAAAACCAACAAUAAAUUAGAUCUCAGACUUUCACACUCAGUAAAAAUUAUCUUGAAUUGAGUUGCUCAAGAGUGUACAGAGACCUAUGAGAUUCAACUUGGGGUUGUUUAAUUUGUAUAAGAGAUGGAUGAGGGAGACCUCAUUGCUCCCUACAAUACCUGAAAGGAGGUUGUGAUGAGGAGGGUGUUCUUUUUCUCAGGUGACAAGCGAUAAGACACAAGGAAACAGUCUGAAACUGUGCCAGGUGAAGUUUAGAUGGGUAAUUAAGGAGAAUUCCAUCAUGGGGAAGGAGGCCAAGUAUUGGAAUGGGCUGCCCAUGGAAGUGAUCACUGGAGGUAUUCUCGGAUCCUCAUUCUUGGAGGCAUUCAAGACAUGCAUGAACAUGGCACUAGACAUGGUUAAGUGGUGGGAACCUUCAUGAUCUUGAAAGUCUUUUCCAAUCUAAAUUAAUCUGUGGUUCUAAAAUAAGUUACAUGUCUCUGUUUUAAAAUAGGAAUGCUCAGAGUUCAGUUAAACAUAAUCAUUACUUGGCUCAUUUUCAAUGCUUUAUUCUAAACAGCUAAUAUUUUCUUAUCAUUAAAAAUUAUUUCAGGAUGAGUAUUUUUUCUGUAGUCUGUAUUCAGUGUUGAUUCAAAGACAGGUAGUCCUCAAUUUCAACAGAUCUACAUGUUAUUCGUCCUAAAAACACUUGACCUAAAAUAACCUGUGAUUCCAAAAAAAUUAGUCUCCCACUAUUGUGUUCCCACAUAAGCUUCACAACAUAUAUUAUCUUGCAUAGUUGUUAACUGUGAGGUGGAAAUAUCCAAUUUUCAUUUCUAUUUUUAUGAAAGCAAAAUGUAUUCAUUUGUCUCUUUGCAUUCUGAUUACUUUACUUUGUUUUGAAAAUCAGCCAUCUACAACAGUAUUCAUUUCUUACCCAGAUAAAAA